rnacentral:lncRNA from 1 species
GAGGUGGUUGUGUUGGCGGUGGUGAGGGAUUGGAAGAUACUGAACAUGACUUAACUCAGUUAUCCCCUGUGGUGAACACUUCUUCUUGUUCCUUGGGGUUAAUUAUAUUGACAGUUGCACCCACAUUAUCGGCCACUUCAGUUUUUUCGACAUCUUUUGGAGUUCCUGGAGCCGAGCCAUAUGCUUCUUCCCUGUCCGAGCCAUAUGCUUCUUCCCUGUCCUGUGACUUAACUCAGUUAUCCCCUGUGGUGAACACUUCUUCUUGUUCCUUGGGGUUAAUUAUAUUGACAGUUGCACCCACAUCAUC